UGCACAUCAGGGACAUCCCAGAUGCUCGUCCCCUCCCAGGCUCUCCUCAAUCUUUAAAAAAUAUAAGAUUGAGGAGAGCCUGGGAGGGGACGAGCAUCUGGGAUGUCCCUGAUGU
rnacentral:miRNA from 1 species